rnacentral:rRNA from 1 species
AGAGUUUGAUCAUGGCUCAGAUUGAACGCUGGCGGCAGGCCUAACACAUGCAAGUCGAACGGUAACAGGAAGAAGCUUGCUUCUUUGCUGACGAGUGGCGGACGGGUGAGUAAUGUCUGGGAAACUGCCUGAUGGAGGGGGAUAACUACUGGAAACGGUAGCUAAUACCGCAUAACGUCGCAAGACCAAAGAGGGGGACCUUCGGGCCUCUUGCCAUCGGAUGUGCCCAUAUGGGAUUAGCUAGUAGGUGGGGUAACGGCUCACCUAGGCGACGAUCCCUAGCUGGUCUGAGAGGAUGACCAGCCACACUGGAACUGAGACACGGUCCAGACUCCUACGGGAGGCAGCAGUGGGGAAUAUUGCACAAUGGGCGCAAGCCUGAUGCAGCCAUGCCGCGUGUAUGAAGAAGGCCUUCGGGUUGUAAAGUACUUUCAGCGGGGAGGAAGGGAGUAAAGUUAAUACCUUUGCUCAUUGACGUUACCCGCAGAAGAAGCACCGGCUAACUCCGUGCCAGCAGCCGCGGUAAUACGGAGGGUGCAAGCGUUAAUCGGAAUUACUGGGCGUAAAGCGCACGCAGGCGGUUUGUUAAGUCAGAUGUGAAAUCCCCGGGCUCAACCUGGGAACUGCAUCUGAUACUGGCAAGCUUGAGUCUCGUAGAGGGGGGUAGAAUUCCAGGUGUAGCGGUGAAAUGCGUAGAGAUCUGGAGGAAUACCGGUGGCGAAGGCGGCCCCCUGGACGAAGACUGACGCUCAGGUGCGAAAGCGUGGGGAGCACACAGGAUUAGAUACCCUGGUAGUCCACGCCGUAAACGAUGUCGACUUGGAGGUUGUGCCCUUGAGGCGUGGCUUCCGGAGCUAACGCGUUAAGUCGACCGCCUGGGGAGUACGGCCGCAAGGUUAAAACUCAAAUGAAUUGACGGGGGCCCGCACAAGCGGUGGAGCAUGUGGUUUAAUUCGAUGCAACGCGAAGAACCUUACCUGGUCUUGACAUCCACGGAAGUUUUCAGAGAUGAGAAUGUGCCUUCGGGAACCGUGAGACAGGUGCUGCAUGGCUGUCGUCAGCUCGUGUUGUGAAAUGUUGGGUUAAGUCCCGCAACGAGCGCAACCCUUAUCCUUUGUUGCCAGCGGUCCGGCCGGGAACUCAAAGGAGACUGCCAGUGAUAAACUGGAGGAAGGUGGGGAUGACGUCAAGUCAUCAUGGCCCUUACGACCAGGGCUACACACGUGCUACAAUGGCGCAUACAAAGAGAAGCGACCUCGCGAGAGCAAGCGGACCUCAUAAAGUGCGUCGUAGUCCGGAUUGGAGUCUGCAACUCGACUCCAUGAAGUCGGAAUCGCUAGUAAUCGUGGAUCAGAAUGCCACGGUGAAUACGUUCCCGGGCCUUGUACACACCGCCCGUCACACCAUGGGAGUGGGUUGCAAAAGAAGUAGGUAGCUUAACCUUCGGGAGGGCGCUUACCACUUUGUGAUUCAUGACUGGGGUGAAGUCGUAACAAGGUAACCGUAGGGGAACCUGCGGUUG